rnacentral:rRNA from 1 species
GACGAACGCUGGCGGCGUGCUUAACACAUGCAAGUCGAACGGAAAGGCCCUGCUUUUGUGGGGUGCUCGAGUGGCGAACGGGUGAGUACACGUGAGUAACCUGCCCUUGACUUUGGGAUAACUUCAGGAAACUGGGGCUAAUACCGGAUAGGAGCUCCUGCUGCAUGGGGGGGGUUGGAAAGUUUCGGCGGUUGGGGAUGGACUCGCGGCUUAUCAGCUUGUUGGUGGGGUAGUGGCUUACCAAGGCUUUGACGGGUAGCCGGCCUGAGAGGGUGACCGGCCACAUUGGGACUGAGAUACGGCCCAGACUCCUACGGGAGGCAGCAGUGGGGAAUAUUGCACAAUGGGCGGAAGCCUGAUGCAGCAACGCCGCGUGCGGGAUGACGGCCUUCGGGUUGUAAACCGCUUUCGCCUGUGACGAAGCGUGAGUGACGGUAAUGGGUAAAGAAGCACCGGCUAACUACGUG